UACGUAGGGGGCGAGCGUUGUCCGGAGUUACUGGGCGUAAAGCGCACGCAGGCGGUCUGUGAAGUUUGGAGUGACAGUUGGUGGCUCAACCACCAAAGUGCUUUGAAAACUGAUAGACUUGAGGGCUUCAGAGGGACACGGAAUUCCGGGUGGAGUGGUGGAAUGCGUAGAGAUCCGGAGGAACACCAAAGGCGAAGGCAGUGUCCUGGGGAGUACCUGACGCUCAGGUGCGAAAGCCAGGGGAGCGAACGGG
rnacentral:rRNA from 1 species